rnacentral:rRNA from 1 species
CAGACGAUGCGUCAUGUAUAUCAAUAAGCGGAGGAAAAGAAACUAACAAGGAUUCCCCUAGUAACGGCGAGUGAAGCGGGAAGAGCUCAAAUUUGAAAUCUUAAAGGGUUUCCCUUUACGAAUUGUAGUUUAAAGAAGUGUUUUCUGUUGAGGUUUUGGUAAAAGUUCUUUGGAAUAGGACAUCAUAGAGGGUGAGAAUCCCGUAUUUGACCUUUACUUUCAACUUUGUGAUACACUUUCAAAGAGUCGGAUUGUUUGGGAAUGCAGUCCAAAAUGGGUGGUAAAUUUCAUCUAAAGCUAAAUAUUGGCGAGAGACCGAUAGCGAACAAGUACCGUGAGGGAAAGAUGAAAAGAACUUUGAAGAGGAGAGUUAAACAGUACGUGAAAUUGUCAAAAGGGAAGCGUUUGACACCAGUGUUGUUUUUCUGAAAAUCAAUUAAAGAACUGUUUAUGCUAAGCUGUUUAGACUUUAUCAGCUAUCUGUUUAGUUUUGAGCCUUUUCUUUAAUGCACUUUUCAGUUAACAAGUCAACAUCAAUUUCUUUUGCUGUAAAAAAGCUUGAGGAAGGUGGCUUGAGAUUCGUCUUAAGUGUUUAUAGCCUCUUGCCUAUGCAGUCGGAGAGAUUGAGGUCUGCAGCGUAGAUCCUUCGGGGCUAAAUGCAUUUGUGCUAAGUUAUAGCAUUUUAUAGACAACUUGUUGACUAUGAUUUGUCUUGUAGCUUACUCGCUUAUGUUAUUUUACCUACGCUUAGGAUGUUGACACACGCGCGUGCUCG